rnacentral:rRNA from 1 species
CUUGGUCAUUUAGAGGAAGUAAAAGUCGUAACAAGGUCUCCGUUGGUGAACCAGCGGAGGGAUCAUUACCGAGUUAUUACUCCAAACCCUUUGUGAACCUUACCAUUUUGUUGCUCGGCGUACCGCGGGCCGCGGCUUCGGCCCGUCCCGCAGCGCGCCAGAGGACCCAACUCUUCAAUUUAUAGCGUACCUUCUGAUUUACAAAACAAACAAGUUAAAACUUUCAACAACGGAUCUCUUGGUUCUGGCAUCGAUGAAGAACGCAGCGAAAUGCGAUAAGUAAUGUGAAUUGCAGAAUUCAGUGAAUCAUCGAAUCUUUGAACGCACAUUGCGCCCGCCAGUAUUCUGGCGGGCAUGCCUGUUCGAGCGUCAUUUCAACCAUCAAGCCCCAGGCUUGUGUUGGGGACCUGCGGCUGCCGCAGGCCCUGAAAACCAGUGGCGGGCUCGCUGUCACACCGGGCGUAGUAGAUUUUAUCUCGCUCUGGGCGUGCUGCGGGUUCCGGCCGUUAAAAAACCUUUUUUACCCAAGGUUGACCUCGGAUCAGGUAGGAAUACCCGCUGAACUUAAGCAUAUCAAUAAGCGGAGGA